CCUACGGGAUGCAGCAGUGGGGAAUAUUGCGCAAUGGGCGAAAGCCUGACGCCGCGACGCCGCGUGAGGGAUGAAGGUCUUCGGAUCGUAAACCUCUGUCAGCAGGGAAGAACGGUCACUGUGCUAAUCAGCAGUGACUUGACGGUACCUGCAAAGGAAGCACCGGCUAACUCCGUGCCAGCAGCCGCGGUAAUACGGAGGGUGCGAGCGUUAAUCGGAAUUACUGGGCGUAAAGCGCUCGUAGGCGGUAUGUCAAGUCAAGGGUGAAAUCCCCGCGCUCAACGUGGGAACUGCCUUUGAAACUGGCAAACUGGAGUGUGUGAGAGGAUAGUGGAAUUCCAGGUGUAGGAGUGAAAUCCGUAGAUAUCUGGAGGAACAUCAGGGGCGAAGGCGACUAUCUGGCACAUAACUGACGCUGAGGAGCGAAAGCGUGGGUAGCAAACAGGAUUAGAUACCCCAGUAGUC
rnacentral:rRNA from 1 species